AACGAACGCUGGCGGCAGGCCUAACACAUGCAAGUCGAGGGGGAAGCCAUCUUCGGGUGGUGGAGACCGGCGCACGGGUNAGUAACGCGUGGGCACCUGCCCUGGGGUGGGGGAUAACCGCUGGAAACGGCGGCUAAUACCGCAUACGCCUUUAGAGGGAAAGAUUUAUCGCCCUGGGAGGGGCCCGCGUUGGAUUAGCUUGUUGGUGGGUAACGGCCCACCAAGGCGACGAUCCAUAGCUGGUCUGAGAGGAUGAUCAGCCACACUGGGACUGAGACACGGCCCAGACUCCUACGGGAGGCAGCAGUGGGAAUAUUGGACAAUGGGGGCAACCCUGAUCCAGCCAUGCCGCGUGCGUGAGAAGGCCUUAGGGUUGUAAAGCGCUUUCACCGGUGACGAUGAUGACGGUAGCCGGAGAAGAAGCCCCGGCUAACUCCGUG
rnacentral:rRNA from 1 species